GGAGCUACCAUUUGAUUUUUAUGGGGGGGCUAGGAGGAAAAAUUUUGUACUGCAUUUUUUUUUAGCUGUAAUCUCUGUCCUGCCUUUUUAUUUUUCACUCUGUUCGGUCCUGCCUUUUUUUUUUUUAGUUUAUCCUGACUUUUUUUACCUAAAUUGUCGUCCUGACUUUUUUUUUUAGCAAGUGUCUCAUCCUGCCUUUUUUUUCACUCAAAACUCCUGUCCUGCCUAUUUUUUUCAAAUUUCAUCCUAGCCCCCCCCCCCCCCUAAAA
rnacentral:lncRNA from 1 species